ACAUGUGGAGCGCUUAGAAGUGAGAAUGCCGGUGUGAGUAGCGAAAGACGGGUGAGAAUCCCGUCCACCGAUUGACUAAGGUUUCCAGAGGAAGGCUCGUCCGCUCUGGGUUAGUCGGGUCCUAAGCUGAGGCCGACAGGCGUAGGCGAUGGAUAACAGGUUGAUAUUCCUGUACCACCUAUAAUCGUUUUAAUCGAUGGGGGGACGCAGUAGGAUAGGCGAAGCGUGCGAUUGGAUUGCACGUCUAAGCAGUAAGGCUGAGUAUUAGGCAAAUCCGGUACUCGUUAAGGCUGAGCUGUGAUGGGGAGAAGACAUUGUGUCUUCGAGUCGUUGAUUUCACACUGCCGAGAAAAGCCUCUAGAUAGAAAAUAGGUGCCCGUACCGCAAACCGACACAGGUAGUCAAGAUGAGAAUUCUAAGGUGAGCGAGCGAACUCUCGUUAAGGAACUCGGCAAAAUGACCCCGUAACUUCGGGAGAAGGGGUGCUCUUUAGGGUUAACGCCCAGAAGAGCCGCAGUGAAUAGGCCCAAGCGACUGUUUAUCAAAAACACAGGUCUCUGCUAAACCGUAAGGUGAUGUAUAGGGGCUGACGCCUGCCCGGUGCUGGAAGGUUAAGAGGAGUGGUUAGCUUCUGCGAAGCUACGAAUCGAAGCCCCAGUAAACGGCGGCCGUAACUAUAACGGUCCUAAGGUAGCGAAAUUCCUUGUCGGGUAAGUUCCGACCCGCACGAAAGGCGUAACGAUUUGGGCACUGUCUCAACGAGAGACUCGGUGAAAUCAUAG
rnacentral:rRNA from 1 species